AUUACAUUCUAUUUUAUUCAUAUCUCAUAAUUUCUUCAAUCAUUCUCUAAUUCCAGGCCGCCAUUUUGUUUCAAGAUCCUUGCUAUCACAAGGACUGCUUUACAAACAUUUGGCUGUUUAUAAAACCUUACUUUCUGCCUUGAAAUCAUUGGUGUUUGAGCCCAUUAAGUGGCCUCUCAGGGUUAAAGGCUAUGGAUGGUCUUUGGUUAUUAAAAAGAGCAAAUUGCUGGCAUCUGUGCUGAGUUGGAAUUCCAUGAAGUAUGAAAGUCCUUGGGGAGGAAGAAGAAACAGCGUGCAUCCUAUAGGUGUUCCCCAGGCCUGACUCCUGUGGAAGAAAUGGAGAUGAGAACUACAGGGGAAGUGGAGAGAGUAUGGAUAAGGUCAAUGGGAAUUUUAGAGUCCAGAGAGAUUUUUUCCAUGAUGAUUUCUGAACAUGAUGUGUGAGGUUUUAUUACAUUCAUGCAAAUCAACUUCUGGAGUUUAAAAAUGGUGGCCAUGACUAAAUCAUGCUGGCUGUUUUCAGAAGGACUUCUUAUAGUUGGAUUUUCUUUUUUCCCCUCUUUUCUUUUUUAACUUAUAGCAUAGUUUGAAAUCCUCAGAGAACCAUCCCAUAACUAUGGGAGAAUCAAUUAAUUAACAAACAUUUAUUAUGUACCUUAGGGAUACAAAGAGAAGCAAAAGAUAAUCUCUGCUCUCAAGGAACUCAGUCUAAUGGGGGAGGCAACAUAUUAAAAAAAAUUAAGAAGAGGGAGAGUCCCUGGUAUGGGGGUAUAAUGAAGUCCAGAGGAGUGUAAAGAGAUGGCUGGCUUCAGUGCUCUCCUUAAAUGGAGAAUUUGAGAAAAACGUUCUCCUGUCCACCCUCUAUACUCUCCAGUCAGAGGAGCCCCAGGGGCAGGGGGAAUCGACCAAAAAGUUCUCUAGAAAUCAAUGAGUAGAGGUAGCUCAGUGGAAGGAGAGUCAAGCCUAGGGAUGAGACACAACUUGAGUUUUAAGAGAAAAAACAAUAUGCUGUGAUCGGAUGGGGACCCUUUGCAACAGUAGGGCAAACAAGAUCAGGGAUGCCUCUAGUAGGGUCCCAGCUGCUCCAUACAUUUGUUAUACAUCCCGCUUCUCCUUCUUUUCUCUGUUGAGUACAUUGGACAAACUCUUGCAAUCCCAUUAAACUUGGGAAUAUUCAGGAUGGCCUGUGCAUUUCUUUAAUUAGACAGGGAAUAUACUGAGCAGUCACCUGACCUUUUUUAGGGUCUGGAAGCCCCAUGUUCAUUCUGUUUUACUCCUCAAUAAGGGAUUAAUGCAGCAAGGGGUCUGCUUCAGAACAUCAUUCUCUCUAUGGUUCAGUUGAUUCAAAACCUUUGUUAGUGCUUACUAAAUAGGCAUUGGAGACCUAAAGGCAAAAGUCAAACAUUUCUUGCCCUCAAAGACCUUAUGAGAGAAGGCAGCCUGUACCUAUAUAAGUAUGUAAAAUAUACACAAAAUAAAUAUGAAGUCAUUUUGGGGAGGAGAGGUGCU
rnacentral:lncRNA from 1 species